UACGAAGGGUGCAAGCGUUACUCGGAAUUACUGGGCGUAAAGCGUGCGUAGGUGGUUUUUUAAGUCCGUUGUGAAAGCCCUGGGCUCAACCUGGGAAUGGCAGUGGAUACUGGAAAGCUAGAGUGCGGUAGAGGGUAGUGGAAUUCCCGGUGUAGCAGUGAAAUGCGUAGAGAUCGGGAGGAACACCAGUGGCGAAGGCGACUCUUUGGUCUGUAACUGACGCUGAGGCGCGAAAGCGUGGGGAGCAAACAGG
rnacentral:rRNA from 1 species